CUGGUUGGACCUACCAGUAGUUAUAUGCUUGUCUCAAAAAUUAAGCCAUGCAUGUCUAAGUACACACGAAUUAAAAGUGAAACCGCAAAAGGCUCAUUAUAUCAGUUAUGGUUCCUUAGAUCGUUAACAGUUACUUGGAUAACUGUGGUAAUUCUAAAGCUAAUACAUGCAAUUAAAACACGGACCUUCUGGGACGUGUGCUUUUAAGACCAAAACCAAGCGAUCAAUUGAUCGUUAUAUUGGUUGAACUCUAGAUAACAUGCAGAUCGUAUGGUCUUGUACCGACGACAGAUCUUUCAAAUGUCUGCCCUAUCAACUUUUGAUGGUAGUAUCUAGGACUACCAUGGUUGCAACAUCUAAGGAAGGCAGCAGGCGCGUAAAUUACCCACUCCCAGCUCGGAGAGGUAGUGACGAAAAAUAACAAUACAGGACUCAUAUCCGACGCACUGUAAUUGAAUUGAGUACACUUUAAAUCCUUUAACAAGGACCAAUUGGAGGGCAAAUCUGGUGCCAGCAGCCUCGGUAAUUCCAGCUCCAAUAGCGUAUAUUAAAGUUAUUGCGGUUAACACGUUCGUAGUUGAACUUGUAGUACAACAUACAUUUGUAGUUAGUCUAUACCUUUAUGGAUGUAAGCGUAUUUUCGGUAGAGUUCUUAUAUGUAAUUAAGUACUUGUACUUUUUUAUAUAUUCCUCAUAUUUAAAAACCUACAUAAGUGCUCUUAAUCGAGUGUUUUUGUGGGCCGGUACAAUUACUUUGAACAAAUUAGAGUGCUUAAAGCAGGCUUUAAAUGCCUGAAUAUUCUGUGCAUGGGAUAAUGAAAUAAGAUCUCUGUUCUGCUUUCAUUGGUUUUCAGAUCAAGAGGUAAUGAUUAAUAGAAGGAGUUUGGGGGCAUUAGUAUUACGACGCGAGAGGUGAAAUUCUUGGACCGUCGUAAGACUAACUUAAGCGAAAGCAUUUGCCAAAGAUGUAUUCAUUAAUCAAGAAGGAAAGUUAGAGGUUCGAAGGCGUUCAGAUACCGCCCUAGUUCUAACCAUAAACGAUGCCAGCUAGCAAUUGGGUGUCGCUACUUUUAUGGCUCUCUCAGUCGCUUCCCGGGAAACCAAAGCUUUUGGGCUCCG
rnacentral:ncRNA from 1 species